UGCUCGCGCACCCAACUACUUACCACCUAUCCUUCUCAGUUACUUCACGGGCGAUGUUACGCUCGAUGAUCGGAUCCGGGGCCUGUGUUGCGUACCUAACUAGAAGGUAUUGUUGAGUUUGGUUUACACCUUUGUCCGCGGCAUCUCCUUCGUGGGGAAGUCGUGGGCACAAAAAUCGGCCCUUGUUUACCUCUCGACAUUGCAUUUGUUGCCUUGUUCGCAUUGGUGAAUAAGUUGCCGGUUGAAAUCUCGGAUGCGGAAAAGUUGUAGACGGUGACUCGAAGUGAUUCAGUCCCGCCAAAGCUCAUCCGUCCUUCGGGCAAAAGAUGACAGUCAAAACCUCGUCCUUUCUCUCUUUCCUUUGCGUUUGCGAGAAUGUGUCGGGGAAUUGCUGUGAUCGAUGAAUGCUACCUGGUUGAUCCUGCC
rnacentral:misc_RNA from 3 species